rnacentral:tRNA from 1 species
CCCUUGGUGGUGUAGUUGGUUAUCGCGUCAGACUGUAAUUGACUUCUCCUUGUGAGAAACUGUAUAUCUGAAUGUCACCGGUUCGAUUCCGGUCCGAGGGA